AUCCGACUGACGAGUCCAAAAUAGAACGAAAUGCGCGUUCUGGAU
rnacentral:hammerhead_ribozyme from 1 species